UACGUAGGGGGCAAGCGUUGUCCGGAAUCAUUGGGCGUAAAGCGCGCGUAGGCGGCCAGAUUAGUCCGGUGUGAAAGUCAGAGGCUCAACCUUUGAAUGCCGCUGGAAACUGUCUGGCCUGAGUCCGGAAGGGGCGAGUGGAAUUCCUGGUGUAGCGGUGAAAUGCGCAGAUAUCAGGAGGAACACCAAUGGCGAAGGCAGCUCGCUGGAACGGUACUGACGCUGAGGCGCGAAAGCGUGGGGAGCAAACAGG
rnacentral:rRNA from 1 species